CUACGGGGCGCAGCAGUGGGGAAUAUUGCACAAUGGGCGCAAGCCUGAUGCAGCCAUGCCGCGUGUAUGAAGAAGGCCUUCGGGUUGUAAAGUACUUUCAGCGGGGAGGAAGGGAGUAAAGUUAAUACCUUUGCUCAUUGACGUUACCCGCAGAAGAAGCACCGGCUAACUCCGUGCCAGCAGCCGCGGUAAUACGGAGGGUGCAAGCGUUAAUCGGAAUUACUGGGCGUAAAGCGCACGCAGGCGGUUUGUUAAGUCAGAUGUGAAAUCCCCGGGCUCAACCUGGGAACUGCAUCUGAUACUGGCAAGCUUGAGUCUCGUAGAAGGGGGUAGAAUUCCAGGUGUAGCGGUGAAAUGCGUAGAGAUCUGGAGGAAUACCGGUGGCGAAGGCGGCCCCCUGGACGAAGACUGACGCUCAGGUGCGAAAGCGUGGGGAGCAAACAGGAUUAGAUACCCUAGUAGUC
rnacentral:rRNA from 1 species